AUGAGAAGUAUGCUGCAGAGGGUUGCCGCCGGAGGGAGGCCCGAAAGAGCAUCUUCUUGGACCAUCUUCUGCGAUCUGCAGACUUGCAUCUCUGAGCCCCUUAGAGUUACUCAUUACGCUCUCGAUGCUGUUCGACGACUUUUCUGUAAUAGAGGAAUGGGAAGAGGACGGGAAUGUGCAAUGGGGAUGGAAAGAGAAACUGUCAAUACUGCUGAGGAGCGAACGGGACAAAAACAAUCUGCUGAUGCCGAUUAUUAUGAUUAUUACAUCAACCUACAGGCUGAGUAUUACCUCCAAGUCACCGACGAUAAUGACCGCAGAAACUUUGAAGACUCCGACCACGAAGAAGUUGAUCCAGAUUGGCCUCCGCCGAGUCUCGCAAUUUACUAUGGUGGAGAUAGCCCUAAUGUAGACGCGGCUUACUGUUUUUCCCGGGACCUGGUGGAGCUGUUGUCUGUGCGUCCUCGCUUUCCCUUUGCGGGCACCUUCGCUGCCUUCAACGAUCGUUCUGCCUACUACUUCUCCUCGCCGAAAGGUCAACAACAACGUAAUGUGGAUUCUCAGGGAAAUUUGUUACUCCGUGCACAAGGCAAGGCCAUUGAGGACGCCUUUCAAAUUAAAAUUGAAAUCCCAGAUGGAGAUAAUGGAAUUGAUUAUGGGUACCUGGUCUUCAGGGUAAACCCGUACGCGUGCAACGAAGUUAUAACCCGCACCAUCCUGACAGCUUGUGGCCGCAAAAUAGACGUGGCUUUUGUGCCGCUCUACUGUGCUAUACAAGCAAGGGUGUUUGUCACCCUUGAUUUGGUAGCUGGUGCUGGCUCUAGCACGGGUGGCGCCAUCUAUUAUGUCUACGGCGAAAUCACUGCACACCAUCAGUUCUACGGCGACAAGAAUGCCAUGCUCUUUUACUGUGAAGAAGGGAACAAAGCGGAGGUUGUUGGCGGCAAGCUUCCACUGUUACGGUCUUGGGCGGCUGUUCCGAUAUACUUAGAUCCGCUCUUGAUAAUCAAGUUGAGCCUUCACGUCUCUACUAACCCUGAGCAUGAUCCUGAUGGUCAUACCAUCUCCUUCCAAGGUGAUCUUAGCUUCGACCGUGACCAGUAUGAAAAAUCCAUUUGCAACGCCCACCAUGGCGCAGUUAAAGUGCGGAUCUCUUACGAGUAA
rnacentral:rRNA from 1 species